rnacentral:rRNA from 1 species
GGAUCAAUGCGUCGGUCGUGCCUUCGGUACGUACUAGCGUCAUUGAUUCCUCCCUUCUGAAGAACCGUGAUGUCAUUAAUUUGGUGUUACGGGGAAUCAGGACUGUUACCUUGAAAAAUUAGAGUGUUUAAAGCAGGCUAACGCUUGAAUACAUUAGCAUGGAAUAAUGAAAUAGGACGUUCGAACCUAUUUUGUUGGUUUCUAGGAUCGACGUAAUGAUUA